GUGUGAUUAGAUUGAUAGUUCUAUCUAUCCACCCCAGCAUGUGCCCUCCAACAUUGCAUAGACAUAAAGGAAUGAGGAAGCAAUCCAUCAAAGGACUCGGUGUCACAGUCGAUGAUGAAGCAGCAGCUCCCCCUGUGGCCAGAAUCAAGCAUACCCUCAAGAAGCCUGGAAGCUGGAGAAAGUUAAAUAGCCUCUGUGUCUUCGUCUCUCUCUGUCUGUAUGUCUAAUGACAUUGAAUGUUUGCCAUGUAUGUGUACAUUGUGA
rnacentral:lncRNA from 11 species